UUUACAUCAAGAGAAGGGCUGACGUCCUCGCCAACCUGCCUGCCUGGGCAAGGUGGUUGUUUUGCAAAAGCUUUAACAAAAAGCGGCAAAACGAUGUGGUCAUUACCGACAAAUAUCAGG
rnacentral:ncRNA from 1 species